UCGAACGGUAACAGGAAGAAGCUUGCUUCUUUGCUGACGAGUGGCGGACGGGUGAGUAAUGUCUGGGAAACUGCCUGAUGGAGGGGGAUAACUACUGGAAACGGUAGCUAAUACCGCAUAACGUCGCAAGACCAAAGAGGGGGACCUUCGGGCCUCUUGCCAUCGGAUGUGCCCAGAUGGGAUUAGCUAGUAGGUGGGGUAAAGGCUCACCUAGGCGACGAUCCCUAGCUGGUCUGAGAGGAUGACCAGCCACACUGGAACUGAGACACGGUCCAGACUCCUACGGGAGGCAGCAGUGGGGAAUAUUGCACAAUGGGCGCAAGCCUGAUGCAGCCAUGCCGCGUGUAUGAAGAAGGCCUUCGGGUUGUAAAGUACUUUCAGCGGGGAGGAAGGGAGUAAAGUUAAUACCUUUGCUCAUUGACGUUACCCGCAGAAGAAGCACCGGCUAACUCCGUGCCAGCAGCCGCGGUAAUACGGAGGGUGCAAGCGUUAAUCGGAAUUACUGGGCGUAAAGCGCACGCAGGCGGUUUGUUAAGUCAGAUGUGAAAUCCCCGGGCUCAACCUGGGAACUGCAUCUGAUACUGGCAAGCUUGAGUCUCGUAGAGGGGGGUAGAAUUCCAGGUGUAGCGGUGAAAUGCGUAGAGAUCUGGAGGAAUACCGGUGGCGAAGGCGGCCCCCUGGACGAAGACUGACGCUCAGGUGCGAAAGCGUGGGGAGCAAACAGGAUUAGAUACCCCUGGUAGUCCACGCCGUAAACGAUGUCGACUUGG
rnacentral:rRNA from 1 species